rnacentral:rRNA from 1 species
GACGAACGCUGGCGGCGUGCCUAAUACAUGCAAGUAGAACGCUGAAGAGAGGAGCUUGCUCUUCUUGGAUGAGUUGCGAACGGGUGAGUAACGCGUAGGUAACCUGCCUGGUAGCGGGGGAUAACUAUUGGAAACGAUAGCUAAUACCGCAUGAUAUUGAAUAUCGCAUGAUAAUUAAUUGAAAGAUGCAAUUGCAUCACUACCAGAUGGACCUGCGUUGUAUUAGCUAGUUGGUGAGGUAACGGCUCACCAAGGCGACGAUACAUAGCCGACCUGAGAGGGUGAUCGGCCACACUGGGACUGAGACACGGCCCAGACUCCUACGGGAGGCAGCAGUAGGGAAUCUUCGGCAAUGGGGGGAACCCUGACCGAGCAACGCCGCGUGAGUGAAGAAGGUUUUCGGAUCGUAAAGCUCUGUUGUAAGAGAAGAACGGGUGUGAGAGUGGAAAGUUCACACUGUGACGGUAUCUUACCAGAAAGGGACGGCUAACUACGUGCCAGCAGCCGCGGUAAUACGUAGGUCCCGAGCGUUUGUCCGGAUUUAUUGGGCGUAAAGCGAGCGCAGGCGGUUAGAUAAUUCUGAAGUUAAAUGGCUGUUGGCUUACCCAUAGACGCUUUGUGAACUGUUUAACUUGAGUGCAGAGGGGGAGAUUGGAUUCCUUGUGUAGUGGGAAAUGCGUUGAUAUAUGGAGUAACCCGGUGGGCGAUGGCUGUGCUGUGGUUUGUAUCUGACUCUGAUGCUCGUAAACGUGGGAACUGAUAGUAUUAUUACCGCUGGUGUUUGAGGUUGAUUUUUCUUUGGGUGUGUGGUGUGUGGUGUCUGUCUGGGGUGGUGUGUAUGACAGAGAGAAAAAAUAUUUGGUGUUUGUUGUGGGUGUGUUUACAUGUUGUGUGUGCCUGUGUGUGCUGUGCUAUGGCUGGUGUGUGUGUGUGUGUGUGAUGGUUGGUUGUUUGUUGUGUGUGUUGUGUUUUGUUG